GCAUAAUCAUUUGCCUUUUAAUUGGAGGCUAGUAUGAAAGGAUAAACAAGAAUAUAGCUGUCUCUUAUAAUUAAUUAAAAACUAGAGUUCAGGUGAAGAUACCUGAAUAUUUAUAAAGGACAAGAAGACCCUACAGAGCUUUAUUAGAAAAAGACUAAAUCUUAUACUAAUUUGGUUGGGACAACCAAAAGACAUAAAAACCUCUUUAUACUUACUCUUUAUUUAACCUGAAAAGAUAAAAACGAAGCUACCUUAGGGAUAGCAGG
rnacentral:rRNA from 1 species